rnacentral:rRNA from 1 species
AGUGAACGCUGGCGGCAGGCCUAAUACAUGCAAGUCGAACGGCAGCACAGCAGAGCUUGCUCUGUGGGUGGCGAGUGGCGGACAGGUGAGGAAUACAUGGGAAUCUGCCCAGUCGUGGGGGAUAACGUAGGGAAACUUACGCUAAUACCGCAUGCGCCCUUCGGGGGAAAGCCGGGGACCUUCGGGCCUGGCGCGAUUGGAUGAGCCCAUGUCGGAUUAGCUAGUUGGCGGGGUAAUGGCCCACCAAGGCGACGAUCCGUAGCUGGUCUGAGAGGAUGAUCAGCCACACUGGAACUGAGACACGGUCCAGACUCCUACGGGAGCAGCAGUAGGGAAUAUUGGACAAUGGGCGCAAGCCUGAUCCAGCCAUGCCGCGUGAGUGAAGAAGGCCCUCGGGUUGUAAAGCUCUUUUGUCCGGAAAGAAAAGCGCCGGGUUAAUACCCUGGUGUCCUGACGGUACCGGAACGAAUAAGCACCGGCUAACUCGUGCCAGCA